rnacentral:misc_RNA from 1 species
GAAAUUUCUAGGAACUAGUGUGUACAAAUAAAAAGAAAAGUAUUUCUACUACUCGGUCGUUGAGGGGUUCGUUGACCCGAUUGCAGUUCCAAGUAAACAAAUCAAUUAUCUUCACACUGGAAGAAAACAAACAUCUUUAUCAUCUCUUUUGUUGGGUAAGUCCCGUAGCCCAUAGGCUGUUGCCUGAGAGUUUGAAGUUUCAACAAUACACACUAUAAUGAAACCAGAAAUAUUCAGGCACGUUGGUAGUUGUAUUCGCUAUAUUUGAAUUAUGGACAUUGAAAAUGACACCCACUCGAAAAAAAAUCCUCAUCUCUGAUAAUAUGUGUUCCACACUCUGGAGCUGAUGAGAAACAAUCAAUGGCAGGGAAAAUUUGGAGCUUGCUGGAAAACUAACAAGCUUUCAAAACCUAAUAAAGAAAAAAAAAAAAUCUCACAAAACACCUUUUGUCUUUAGUAGGAACCCUCCUUUAAUGAUCAUUUCGAUCAUGGCUCGAUAGCAUCUGCUGCCAUCAGCAAGCCAACCAGCCGCUCAAUCAAUGCCUUAGUCCUGGAUGAAAGGCUAUCAAAGGGAUGUUUAACACUCAACUGCGAACGCCACAGUAUGUUCAAUGAACAUCUGAAAACACCAU